UGCCUAAUACUGCAAGUCGAGCGGACAGAUGGGAGCUUGCUCCCUGAUGUUAGCGGCGGACGGGUGAGUAACACGUGGGUAACCUGCCUGUAAGACUGGGAUAACUCCGGGAAACCGGGGCUAAUACCGGAUGGUUGUUUGAACCGCAUGGUUCAAACAUAAAAGGUGGCUUCGGCUACCACUUACAGAUGGACCCGCGGCGCAUUAGCUAGUUGGUGAGGUAACGGCUCACCAAGGCAACGAUGCGUAGCCGACCUGAGAGGGUGAUCGGCCACACUGGGACUGAGACACGGCCCAGACUCCUACGGGAGGCAGCAGUAGGGAAUCUUCCGCAAUGGACGAAAGUCUGACGGAGCAACGCCGCGUGAGUGAUGAAGGUUUUCGGAUCGUAAAGCUCUGUUGUUAGGGAAGAACAAGUACCGUUCGAAUAGGGCGGUACCUUGACGGUACCUAACCAGAAAGCCACGGCUAACUACGUGCCAGCAGCCGCGGUAAUACGUAGGUGGCAAGCGUUGUCCGGAAUUAUUGGGCGUAAAGGGCUCGCAGGCGGUUUCUUAAGUCUGAUGUGAAAGCCCCCGGCUCAACCGGGGAGGGUCAUUGGAAACUGGGGAACUUGAGUGCAGAAGAGGAGAGUGGAAUUCCACGUGUAGCGGUGAAAUGCGUAGAGAUGUGGAGGAACACCAGUGGCGAAGGCGACUCUCUGGUCUGUAACUGACGCUGAGGAGCGAAGCGUGGGGAGCGAACAGGAUUAGAUACCCUGGUAGUCACGCCGUAACGAUGAGUGCUAAUGUUAGGGGUU
rnacentral:rRNA from 1 species